rnacentral:lncRNA from 1 species
GGACAACACUGUGCCAGGACAGCGUUCACAUUAGGACGAAAAGCAGCAGCUGAUGUGUGAGUAAACAGACUAACUGACCGACACUGUGUCUCAUCCUCCUCCUCUUUUCAGGUGUGACUUUUAUUCAUUUGUGUCUAUGAUCCAGGUGAGCACUGAAUUCAGGUGUGUCUUUACCCUGAUGUAUUUAUGACAUAUGUUUGUUUCAGGUGUUUUUUAAUGUACACAUGUAUUUAUUUUGCAUGUGUGUUUAUUACCUAGGUUUGCUUAAUCCUUAGUUGUGUUUAUUUUAGGGCUGCAGCUAUCGAAUAUUUUAGUAAUUGAGUAUUCUACCAAAUAUUCCAUUGAUUACUCAAGUAAUUGGACCUAAAUGGCACACUCACAUACGGUGAAAUUUCCAUCACAAAUCCAAGCUCAAAUCCAAGCCUGUGAAAACCAGACUGAGGAAUAGAGAGGACAGUCACUUAACAAGCGUGUGCGUUGAUGGAUUGCAAUGCUCGUAAGAAAGCUAAUCUUGGUAUUAACCUUCAUCAUGUCCCUAAAGACAUUAGUGUCCGAGAGCUGAAUAGCUCCUAUGUUACCUGCUACUUCUACUACACCAUCAAUAUUAGGCUACAAGCUAGCAUGAAGAGGAGUCUGCAGAGCAGCGCUGUCUCCGCCCACAACUCAGAGGUGAAUUGCUAAUGAGCUAAAGGUGACGUAAGCGCGUUGUCACAUUGAAAAUAAUCUGUGCGAAACAGCUCAAGGUACUUGAGGAAUCAUUAUUUCAGUCUUAGUUUAUUUUACAAAUGUGUUUAAUACUCUGGUGUGAGUUUUUAGGUGUGUAUAUUACUCAGGUGUUUACAUUAUCUGAGUGUUUAAAGGUGGGCUAGGCAGGAAUGCGUUAAAGAAGCAUACAAAAAGCUUUUAAUAUCAGUCAAUAGCUAUUAGUCAGUGAUGACGUUUGGUAAUAUAACAAUAUCGCUGUGUUUUGUUUUGUCUGUGUAGUCAACAUUUUAAAAUUUCAGAGGGCUCCGCUCUUUCUGACUGUAAACAAAGCCAUUACCCGCCUCCCCCAGCCUGAUUGGUUGUGAGGCAGACGCUGCUCCCUGUGUCAUUCAUGAGCCCAUACAAAGUUAGCCUGCAACAAUAUUAGACAGUAGAAACCAACCAGAAAGUACGGAAAAUUGUCUGAAUCCUCCUUUAGCCACAACUGCCAACACAAGCAAGAAAAUUAACUAAAUACCGGAGACUCGGGCAGAAUAACGGGCGCUUAAAAAGGAGGUAGAGCAGACAAGAGCUAAAAAGCCAGGUCAACAAUGAUGGGGGAAGCUUUGGGAUCUUAUGGACCCUGUAACCUUUCUGCUAGACAGGUAAACCACUUUAACAAAGUAAGCCAAGUGUCUGUAACAGAAGUGUUUCUUGUCAAACGGGACCUGCUGCGUGUUGUAGCGCUGCUAAACUAUUUACCUCGGGUCCUGGAGUAUGUCACUUUAUCCUGGUUGUAGAAGUCCUGCAAACAUUGUGUUUGCUGGUGGUCUGUUGGCAUCUACAGUAGCACCAAUGCUAUUUACUUUCACGUUGACUGGGCCCCAUUUGUAAUUAUCUGAAGUAUUAAUCUGCAUUAUAUCUGAAUUUAAUUGGAACGUUAUGAGCAAGCAGGAGCAUCUGUUUGUGGGCGGGGCUUGCUGAAGCAGAGAAGGAGGGGAAAGGAGGAGCUGAGAGAAAAACUGGUUGGGAGAAGUAGUGUUUACACUCAAGAUUUCUCCCCAAAACUGGGACUUCCUCAGAUCCUGCCUACCCCACCUUAUAGGCUGAAAAUAAAAAUAAAAAACAAUUCCAAAGUUUUGCUGCAGCAGCAUCAAUAGACCUAUCUUUUCAAAGAUGGUAAUCAGCUGAUGACAGUUUAGACUGAGUUGUCUGAAGUUCAAACCAUCGUCAAUACAUCUGUUGGAAAUGCAAAUGGCUGUUUGAUACAUUGCAGGACAAAAAAAUUGACUGUAGGACCCAGUAAACACAGAGGAAAACAGAUCUUUAGUGAGUUUUGUCCAAAUAUGAAAGAAAAUAUCUGAAAUAAACUGUUUCAUAACCAUCUUGAGUAGAUCUAGCUGCUUUCAUUCUUUGGUUUAGAGCUUUUCCUUUUGACGAUACGAUCAGAUAAAUCCAAACAAAAAAGCUUUUGUAGGAAUAUUGAUUGUGUUUCUGCUCACUCUCUCCCACUCAGUGUGUCCUCCUGUCUCAGAGAGGCUGAAUCACAGCAGGAGCUGAGAGAGGCUCUGUUCCUCGAUCCAUUUACUACAGCAGCAGAACGGGCUGAUAACAACACGGCUGCUGCUGUGGAAACCUCUCACAGAGACGGGUUUACUCAACAUAAGGCCAGUCAGGGAGCCUUUUUUUUUUUUAUGUAAAAUCUUUUCUUUCAGAGUUCGUGAUGAUUUACUGACUUUAUGAAAGGUGGAACAGGAUUAAACAGGAUCAGCCCUUUUUUUUUAUAAGCAAACGAUGGUAUGGAUGGGUGUUAUUUAACCACACCCCUCAGUAUGUUUCAUGAGGAUUUUAGGCAGAUACUUAAUAUCUGUAGUGCUAAGCCCAUGUCCACAAGAACAUGGAUAAUCAUAUCCCCAUCAUGAUCAGAACCAGGACUGAGAUCAGAACCAGGAUACUAAAGACCAUGAAAACCCACAGAUUACAUCUCCCCUGAUUAAUCAUACUCAGAGCUGUGUGUAUGUGUUGAUGUAGGGGAGACCGGGGCUUGUGGGUAAGUUGUCACAUUGCAAUUAUCUUGUCCACCUGGGGGUGCAACUAAAAAGUGAAAUACUAGUUUUAUUCCUUUACAUGGUCAGAGGUUGUGUUCUGUCUGAGAAGAAAAAAGCACAUUGUGAGCUGAGGUGAGCGCUAAUUAACCAUUUUGCACAACCCAAAGUAAAAUUUUUUAACAAUAUAUAUUUUGAAAUAAGCCUCUUCGAAAUAAAAAUCCUAGCAGUGAUACAUGUGGACUUGUUAGAGGAGAGAUUAAGGUAUUCUGUCAUACCUCAUUCAUUGUUUUGUUUUAAGAUAACUUUAAGAUAGAGCUAGAAUUAGCGAACAUGGUAGUUUGGGGCAACAUGUCUCAGUUAUUCUGGGGUAAGUCGUCACAUGUGAUAACUGUGAGCAAAACAGGCAUUUGACGUUGAGAGCCAUAGCCUACAUGCCAGCAGUUCCUAUGUACUUUAAUCCAGUGCAUGUUGUGUAAUAUUUCAUGUUAACGUUUGUUCAAUGGCUAUGUUAAAUGACUUUUUUGAAGUUUUCUGUGCCUGAUUUUGAUGUUAACUUUCCAGUUAAAAAAUGAGAACAACAAUUAUUUUGUCCUGGUUUUAUUAGCUGCAAAAUCUAGCGUGACAUCUUACCCCAUAUGGUGAGACAACUUACCCGAUGGUGGGGCAGCAUGUCACAUGUUCACACUCUCUAUUUGAUUGCUUUUAAGUCUGCACUGACACAAGAUAUGAAAAUGACAUGAAUACGAAACAUAUACCUGAGACUUUGGUCUUUCAUCUGGUACACACUUUGUUUUUAUAUAAUGCAUUGAUUUCAAGAAAUACAUAACAGUGUAAAAAGUGUGACAACAAGCCCCGGUCUCCCCUAUGUUCCUGCUUCUCAGGGUGGAGGUUAGGAGUCACGAGGGAGACUAUCGGCUAUCAGGUGACUGAGGCUGUACACUUGUUCAGUAUAGCUAAUAUAUAACACAGAACAACCAUCUGCUCUGCUCUAUAGACACUUACUGUCAGAUCUCUAUCAGAGCUUUAACAUUCAGCUCUCAUUUAGGAAACAUGGCGUUUGGGAAAAUGAUCAAAAGGACUGACCAUUAAUCCCUACAAAGACCAAAGAUUUGAACUCAAGUAUCUAGAAGGGAUACUUACUUAGCUGUGACUAAACUCUGAACACCAGCAUGUGAUCCGUCUGUUUAUCUGUGAGCGCAGACUGAGCAGCGAAAAACAAACUGCAAACUAAUGCGGCUCCAUCUCUCUAGGUGAAAAACAACCGAAAACAAACAGAAAACACAGCAUCCCUCUCAAAGUGAAGGUGAAGAAGAACUCCAGAGACAGAAGAACUUUUGAGUGAAAGAGAAAAACACAGAACAAGGAGAGGAGGAAGAUGAGGACAGCUGCAUCCUGAACCGACCGAUCGGUGGCUUUGCAUUCAUACAGUCUGACAGAAAAAGGACAGUUUCAGAAACUGCCUAGAAGACUUUGGAGGAAGAGUCAGAGCAGGUAAGAAGAUG